rnacentral:misc_RNA from 1 species
AACAAUCCAUCUUCUGGGAUCCAAAUCCAACCCUAUCUAGAAUUUUUUUUUUUUUGAACAUGGAAAUAGAUGCAAAUAUGAAGAAAGAUGGAUCUGAGUGAAAGCCUUGCCCACAGUUUGAAAAUAGCUCUUCUCUGCCAAAGCCCAUCCAGCCCAUCCAAAACUAACAUACUCUAUUGAAUGAGAAGUAAAAAACAGAAACCUCUUUUCCACAAGUACGUAGUUGUGAUAAUUGUUUUGUAUCACAACACCCACUUUCGAAUGUUUAGUUUUCUCCACUCGAGCUUGGGCUUGAACUUGAGUUUGCUUUUGAGAUGGGAUUUGAAAAUGAAUUCAUGUGAAGUUGGUGAGGAUAACAAAUUCUAUCAGGUGGACAAGGCACUGGUGCUGGAUGUGCUAUAAAUGUAGGAAUAUUAUCUCCAGGCAUCAAGACUGAAACUCCAUUGGCAUAUACGGUCAUUUUUGGUGAUGGGUGGCCA